CGGCCCCUGCAGGGUUCUCCGCAAAGCAGGGGGAGGCGGGCGCGGGGCGAGGGCGCGCGCUGGGCCCAGGGCGGCGGGGCCGGAUCGAGUCCGUCGGCUCCCCGCGGGCGCCUCUGCUCCCUCUGCCUGGGCCCCGCCCCUCUCUGCGUCUCAUGAAUGAAAGAAAAUGUAUAAACUACCCUUGUCGCUGCUUCUACAAACGAUGGACAAAGUGCGUCUCCCCGCACACCUACCGGGCGCCGCACUCCCAAGAGCAUAAGGUGGCUCGAAGAUAAAAAGGCGACAGAGAAUCCCAGGCGCACGGAUACCAAGCCUCAGACUCAACUGAAGCAACAGGAUUCUCUAUCCCUCCUGAGACUCUGAACUGAUGGAGAUACUGUCAAAUGGACCAUGGAUGGAACUGCAAGGCCGUGGCGAAAGCACAAAAGCAUGGGCAGCGACGUCAGGCAGGCAUGAUGACAAUCUGACAAGAUGACUUCCAAGAAGCAGAAAAGAGCCGUGGUCCCCGACUGGCUGGGUCCACCCGGCUUCACAUGAGCUUUGUUUCCCAACCUUGGAUUAUCAACAACAUUGCUUUAUAAUUGCUUAUAUCUUUACACUAUUACCCCCUACCUAAACAUGUUCGAGUAGUUCUCUUCCUAUGUUUUUAUACAGAUUUGUCUCACCAGAUAUAUUCUAAAGAAAAAUACUCAGUCAAGGUUAAAAAAAUUUAUCAUUUAUUUUAAAGGCAUUAAUAAAAAGCUUAACACACUUUA